rnacentral:sRNA from 1 species
AUAAAGAUACCAUUGAAACAAAAUCUCCUUCGAUUAAUCCUUUAUUAACCGAAGGAGAUUUUAUUCAAGAGGGUCAACCUCU